UGUUCAUAUUGUUUCUCCGAAACCCUAAUUACACCCCCUUUCUCUGAAACCCUAACUACAGCCGCCUUCAACAAUCUUCGUAUCACCAUCAUCAUCGUUCAAUCCCAGAACUUCAUCAUCCUUUUUUUUAAACCGUCUUUUUUCAUCUUCUUGUGAGGUUUUUACUACACAGAUCUAAAAUGCAGGUUUAAUUCGAUCCAAGGCAGCACAACGGCAUCAAUCACAAUUCUAUUUAUUCUUCCUAAUCGGUUUCUUCUCUGGUUUCUUUUCUCUGGAAACCCUAAAAUCUAUAGCCAUUUUAUUAUUCAUUCGAAUUCAACAUUAUGGUUUGUGGCUACAAAUCAGAUACAUGACCACAAUUUUUUCGAGAAUGAAUUUUUUUGUCGGAAGAGGGAUGUGUUGGGAGGAUGGUGUGAUUCAGGCAGCGUUUUUAUAGCCGAUGUAGUCUAAAGAUGAAGCCCAGGCCAAGGCCACCGAAGUGUCGGAAAAGGGAUGUGUUGGGAGGAUGGUGUGAUUCAGGCAGCGUUAAGCAACAGUCUUCAUUUACACUGUGUUCCAGAGUUUACUAACGGAAGGAAAGGAAAGGAAACAGAAAGAAAAGAAAUCGAAGAAAGAGGCGAUCAAAAGUUCUUCUGGUGCAUUGAAGGAUACUAUUAUGUGAUUUGCAUGGCAAACUGAUCAAUGGCUCGCCUCGACUCAUGCGGCGGAGAGAUAUAGUUGGGAGAAGUGAUGUCGUCCCUGGUGGAGGAGCGACGCACCUUAGUUGGUGACAAUCUGUUUUCAUGGUGAUGUUUUUUUAGAAGAAUGCUUAAUCGGAAUUCGUAUCGAUCAAUCUCUAGCUUUCACAAAACAUUUAAUUUAGUAAUUGUGAUUCAAGUGAUGCAAUAUAAUUAUCAAAACUUAUAAAUUGGUUGUUUGUUUUGUUAUCGUGCGAUCGGCAGCAGCAGUUCAACCACACACAACUGGCUUCAGAAAAUUCUAAAAGGCAAUCCCAAAAUUAACCAAGUUUCUGAACCAUAUAUUGAUGAGAAGAGCUGUCAUAGCAUGCGUCCUCGAAGCGUAGGAUUGUCCCCAAGAGUUUCAACUAUAAGGAUGCAAUCUCCUCAUAUGGUUAAUAAUAAUAAUAAUGAGUCACAGCUUCAAAAUCUAUAAUUUAUUAAGGUGUAGUAGUAAGUGUAAAUUCGAUAAUUUCUUAAGGUGUAGAUGUAUUAUUUGUACUCAUAUUUCCACUUAAAAUUUCCAGGAGGUUUUAUUAGUAAACUCCCACUUUAACACCAUUUGCAACUCUAAGGUUUUACUCUUAUUUUUUACUCAAGAUUACUUAUAUAUAUAUAUAUAUAUAUAUAGAAGUGAAUUGAAUGUUGCAAAUAUUAAUCAAGAUAUCCAAAAUAUAUUACUCUUAUUGUUAUGUCUGUAUUUGUAAUUUACAAGUUAGAUUAUUACCGGGUCAGAAAGGUAGCAAUAUACCUCAACUCCUCCUCUAAUGGUAAUAACUAGAGCUGAAGGUCGUGCAUGGAACGUAAGGGUGAAACUACUGCAUAAGUUAUGUCAUUUGACUACUGGUUGGAAGAAUUGCAGAAUGCCAUCAGUAUUUUACCGAGUAGCUAGCACAAUUGGGUAGCUGAUUAUAAAUUAGCUCCUGAUGGUAUGGUUCGAAUCAUUACCAUGGAUGAAAUAAUUUUUACUGUCAAGAUUAGGAAAGCAGGUUCUUCAUACUUUUUCCACGACGGAUGGUCCAAUAUGAUUCAGUAAUUAAUAUUACCAUAGGGUUCAUUGCUUUUGUUAUUGUACGCAGGUAGUUUAACUUUUAGAUUGAUAUACUUUUAUCAAUAUUUGGCUUUUGCUCAAGGUGAUUUCUUAUAUUGUCAAACAUCUCAAUUCUCUGAACAUAAAGAUUAUUUGGUAAGUAU
rnacentral:lncRNA from 1 species